rnacentral:rRNA from 1 species
AGGGAUCAUUACACAAUAACAAUA